rnacentral:tRNA from 1 species
GUCAGAAUGGCCUAUCCGUGUAAGGCACAGACCUGCUUUCAGGUUGCAGAAGCCUCUGAAGGUGUGGGUUCAAAUCCCACUCCUGACC